GCUACCUUAGCUCAGUAGGCAGAGCAACUGAUUCGUAAUCAGGAGGUCGCCAGUUCGAUUCUGGCAGGUAGCACCA
rnacentral:tRNA from 1 species